CCACGGGUGAGUAACACGUAUGCAAUCCACCUGUAACAGGGGGAGUAACCCGGAGAGAUCCGGACUAAUACCCCAUAAUAUGGGCGCUCCGCAUGGAGAGCCCAUUAAAGAGAGCAAUUUUGGUUACAGACGAGCAUGCGCUCCAUUAGCCAGUUGGCGGGGUAACGGCCCACCAAAGCGACGAUGGAUAGGGGUUCUGAGAGGAAGGUCCCCCACAUUGGAACUGAGACACGGUCCAA
rnacentral:rRNA from 1 species